UCCACCGGCGGGACGUGACCGGCUGGGGCGCCGAUAUGGCGGGCCGGUUUCCAUGCCCGAUAUAUUGCAAGAGAAUCAGGAGCUCCGUCGUGCCAACAAGACUCUAGCACAGCGGCAAGAACUCCACACCCGGAUGAUUUUGAUGCUUUUCGCGGAGUUGGGUAAAGAACCGCCCCGGGAGCUCCUACAUAAUAUUGGAACUCCGAGCAAUAUGAAUCGACAACAAGAGCCUGUUACAUUCAACACCCUGGUUUACGAACAGUGAUAAACCGUCCCUUGUUCAUGUCACAUAGCACCAUCAAGAUUGUCUAUGCCAAAUGCCACAUCAGUAUUCAGUUUGUGGUACCAUGUAUUGAACCAUUUGUAAUGAUCUUGAACAAUCUUCGACGAAACAAAUA